AGGCCACUGCUAUCGGAGUUCGAUUAAGCCAUGCGAGUCGAGAGGUGUAAGACCUCGGCAUACUGCUCAGUAACACGUGGACAACCUACCCUGAAGAGGGGGAUAACCCCGGGAAACUGGGGAUAAUACCCCAUAGACUAUGGAUGCUGGAAUGCUUUGUAGUUGAAAGGUCCGCCGCUUCAGGAUGGGUCUGCGGCCGAUUAGGUUGUUGUUGGGGUAACGGCCCAACAAGCCUGUAAUCGGUACGGGUUGUGGGAGCAAGAGCCCGGAGAUGGAUUCUGAGACACGAAUCCAGGCCCUACGGGGCGCAGCAGGCGCGAAAACUUUACAAUGCGAGCAAUCGUGAUAAGGGAACUCCGAGUGCCUGUAAAAUCAGGCUGUCCGCCAGUGUAAAUAACUGGUGAAGAAAGGGCCGGGCAAGACCGGUGCCAGCCGCCGCGGUAAUACCGGCGGCUCGAGUGGUGGCCACUAUUACUGGGCUUAAAGCGUUCGUAGCUGGUCUGUUAAGUCUCUGGGGAAAUCUUCCGGCUUAACCGGAAGGCGUCUCAGGGAUACUGGCAGACUAGGGACCGGAAGAGGUGAGAGGUACUCCAGGGGUAGGAGUGAAAUCCUGUGAUCCUUGGGGGACCACCUGUGGCGAAGGCGUCUCACCAGGACGGCUCCGACAGUGAGGAACGAAAGCUGGGGGAGCAAACCGGAUUAGAUACCCGGGUAGUCCCAGCUGUAAACGAUGCGCGUUAGGUGUAUCGGUGACCACGAGUCACCGAGGUGCCGAAGAGAAAUCGUGAAACGCGCCGCCUGGGAAGUACGGUCGCAAGGCUGAAACUUAA
rnacentral:rRNA from 1 species